rnacentral:lncRNA from 1 species
UUUUAUACCACCUUUCUUCAUACUCAUUCUAUAUCACACACCCCUAUGAUAGCCACCCUCAACUUAGGCCAUUUACCUAAGUUAGGUGCAUAGUGUCCAAGGAGGACCAGGGCCAAAACAGGUUCAUUAUGAUCUAAAUGAGAAGGUGAUACGUGUCAUACAAAAAAAUAGAAUAAUUAGGCUCAAAACAGGGAUCAAGGAUAUGAUACACAUAGGGAAGGUCAUUUAGGCUAAAG